AUGCGGGGCCUGGCGCUAGAGGCAUACCUCGCCGGCGUGCCGGAUCUGUGCCGCCUGACGCUCCGAGGCGUCCCCCCGUUGUCCACCUGCAUCCAUGCCGUCGACAAGAACCUGAUUCUUAUGAUAACGUCCUUUCCCAAAGUUUACCCCCGCAACAUCUAUCUCAUCUACAACGCGAUCGACAGAUCGCUCCACAUGAUCCCGUCUCCGCCCAGCUCGCCCCCUCGCGCCACCGUCCUUACAGCCCGUCUCCUCGUUGCGCGCCGCCGGGACGGCGACGCAUGCUACGCCCUGGCCUUCCCGGGGUCCAUCCGCGGCGUAGGCUCUAGACGGGAGUCUGUUCUCUUCGUGUCGCCGUCCUCGUCCGACUUGCAGUGGGAGAUAGCCAAGCGUGCCGAGUUCCCCGACCACCUGCUCGCGGAGAAAAGCGACUUCGUUGCCAAAGAGGUGUUCUCGCACCGUCCGUGGUUACUGGAUGGAUCUCUUGCUCGGUGGCAUGUACUGUGA
rnacentral:rRNA from 1 species